rnacentral:miRNA from 1 species
ACUGGCUUCCAAAGGUGAGUAGA